CAGAGUAAGGACAGUGCGUCAAGUGCCGGCGGAUGGGAUGUUGCCGUCGGACGAAAAGCCCUGGAGGCUUGCGUUGCUGCUCCUGCGUCCGCUGC
rnacentral:ncRNA from 1 species